rnacentral:rRNA from 1 species
ACGCUGGCGGCAUGCCUAACACAUGCAAGUCGAACGAGAAAGCUUCUUCGGAAGUGAUUAAAGUGGCGCACGGGUGAGUAACGCGUAGACAAUCUGCCCUUCAGUCCGGGACAACUUUCCGAAAGGGGAGCUAAUACCGGAUAACAAUGUUUAACAUAAGUUUAAUAUUUGAAAGCUCCGGCGCUGAUGGAUGAGUCUGCGUCCCAUUAGCUUGUUGGUGCGGUAGUGGCGCACCAAGGCUACGAUGGGUAGCGGGUUUGAGAGGACGAUCCGCCACACUGGAACUGAGACACGGUCCAGACUCCUACGGGAGGCAGCAGUGGGGAAUAUUGCACAAUGGAGGAAACUCUGAUGCAGCAAUGUCGCGUGAGUGAAGAAGGCCCUUGGGUCGUAAAGCUCUUUUAUGGGGGAAGAUAAUGACGGUACCCCAGGAAUAAGCACCGGCUAACUACGUGCCAGCAGCCGCGGUAAUACGUAGGGUGCGAGCGUUGUUCGGAAUUACUGGGCGUAAAGGGCGCGCAGGCGGAGGUGUAAGUCGGAGGUGAAAGCCCGGGGCUCAACCCCGGAGGGUCUUUCGAAACUGCAUCUCUAGAGAGGGUCAGGGGCCGGCAGAAUUCCUGGUGUAGAGGUGAAAUUCGUAGAUAUCAGGAGGAAUACCGGUGGCGAAAGCGGCCGGCUGGGGCCACUCUGACGCUGAGGCGCGAAAGCGUGGGGAGCAAACAGGAUUAGAUACCCUGGUAGUCCACGCCGUAAACGAUGAGCACUGGACGUUCGGAGGGUUCGACCCUUCUGGGUGUUUCAGCUAACGCAUUAAGUGCUCCGCCUGGGGAGUACG